CUGAUGCUAUGUUUACAUGUAGCUUUUGUGACUGUUGUUCUCAUCCGGCAUCAGGCAUUUGAAGUUUGUAUUUCGGAUUUCACCUCUCGGGGAAACAUCGACACGCUCCUGGGUUCUUUGGCUGACGAAAUAAGAGUGUGUACGGUCGGUACAGUCCGUCCUAUGGACUUGUUUAAUGAGAGCGUGUGUCAACAAAUCCAGAUCCGUGACGUCCACCCAUCCUGCCACCUUAACAGAGCACUGGAAUCUCCCUACAGGAUACUACUGGGAGGAGUGACAGUUUUGGCCUUCAUAUCGCUGUGUUGCUACCAUCUCAUUUCUCACGGAUUAUUAAUUAACGCUCUAACAAUUCUGGAACUAUAAACUUGUGUAAUUAACUAGCAGCAAAACUCAAAGUAUAUUCCUUUUCUUCAGGACCAGUGAACUGGAUAAUUUUCAAAAAAGUUUUAAUCGCAAUUACAUUUUUACAAAAAACAGAACAAAGUUCGAGGAAAAUAGUUUUCCCCUUAUAAUUAUAAAACUAAGGGACUUCGGAACAUGUUGCUGUUUUGAUAUGAUUUCAUAUACAUAUGAGGAAUAAUUGAACUACAAUCUCAUUUUUGGUGUGAAUAUCGAAAAGGAAGAGUAACUCAGAGAGGUUAACAUCUGGAUUUCGUCAAACAAUUGAAAAUUACAGGAAUAAUCACAUGGAUAGAUAUAAGGCAAAAAUAAUUUCCUUUUCAUUCCGUCGAAAAUUCCUCAAGAAGGAAAAUAUCUUUGGUAGAAGAAAACCUUCAUUUCAAUAUAUUUAGAAGAAGAAAAAAAAAUUGUACUUUAAUAUCAAUAAUUGAUUAA